rnacentral:rRNA from 1 species
UACGUAGGGUGCGAGCGUUGUCCGGAAUUAUUGGGCGUAAAGAGCGCGCAGGCGGUCGAUCAAGUCGAGUGUGAAAGCCCCCGGCUCAACUGGGGAGGGUCAUUCGAUACUGAUCGACUCGAAGGCAGGAGAGGGUAGUGGAAUUCCCGGUGUAGUGGUGAAAUGCGUAGAUAUCGGGAGGAACACCAGUGGCGAAGGCGACUACCUGGCCUGUUCUUGACGCUGAGGCGCGAAAGCUAGGGGAGCAAACGGG